GGUGUGGGUGAUGAGAACACGUCCUUAGGUUGGUCCAUUUUGGCCGUUUUGGUCAAAAGUUUUGGGCCUUCCCAUGUUAGGAUUCGUCAUAGUUACACUGACACACG